CUUCACGAGACGUGACCGCCAAGCUCCGACUUGGUCACGCACCAACCCCAUGCUCAUUGGGUGGUUCGGAUGAGGAAGCGGCCUGCAUCUUCCGCGGCGUGCCCACCGGGCCCGCGCGGAUG
rnacentral:ncRNA from 1 species